CCCCUCUCAGGAUCGCACCUGUUGAGUUUCCAAUACUCUACCAGCCUCAACUAAGGGAGAGAGAGUCAAGCAGCAGCAUACACAUUCCAUUCCUAGCUUGGCCAGUGGCUAGUGAAUGGAAGACAAUCUGCUACAAGU